CCUUCCAAGAGGGGCGCCAGCAGGGGCCUCCCGCCCGGUGUCCUCAGAGCCAACGGAACGAGACUCAGCUGCUUUAAAAAGCAAAUGAGAGUCUGUCUUCGACAAACAUACGACAUGCGAGCUCCAGCUCCAGAGCGCACGCUCUCCCAACAGGCUGUGCGCGGCCCUUUGACUGGCAGCCGGGAAGGGGCGGAGUUCUCGCGAGGCUCUGGACCCGAGUCUCGCGUGCAGCGUCUGCACACGGCCCCCGCCGCCAUCUUGAUUGCGUUGGGGAACCCGGUACAGUGCUGCCCACACAGCCAGGCUGCUGAAGGGCCUGAAGUUCCAGGAAUUGUUAAUGUGGUUUACUGGUUCAAACCUAAAUAUCACACAAUGAAGGAAAAAUACAUUAUAGUCCUGUCCUAACAGGUGGCUCAGUGAUAAAGAACCUUCCUGCCCAUGCAGAAGAGGGAAAGAGACGCAGGUUCAGCCCCCGGGUUGGAAAGAUCCCCUGGAGGAGGGCAUGGAAACCCACUCCAGUAUUCUUGCCUGGAGAAUCCCAUGGACAGAGAAGCCUGGUGGGCUACAGUCCCUGGGGUCACACAGACACGGACAUGACUGAGCAGCUGAGCACACACAGCAUACAUAAAAUAGAAAAUACAAUGUUGGCUAGCCCUAAGA
ensembl:lncRNA